AAAUUAGCGAUAAGACAAGGUGCCCUUGUAACUACAAGGGGUAACAGGGAAUCGGGUGCAAAUCCCGAGCGGUCCCGCCACUGUAAGGAAGAGCUGAACUUCAGCAUGUCACUCGGCAAACAGCCGGGGAAGACGAAGGAAGGCGUUAUGAUUCCGAGCCAGGAGACCUACCUUGUUUGCGCGCACCAC
rnacentral:ncRNA from 2 species